ACUCGCUCCUUCCUUCCUCACCCUAGCCCCAAUCCACAACCCCACGCCCCUUGCUCCUUUCUUCCUCACCCGCCGCCGCUCCCUCCCACCUCCUCCUCCUCCUUCUACGCCCUAGGAGCCCCGCCGCCGCCCUUCUGCUACUCCUCCACCGGCCCGCCCUGCUGCGUCGCGAGCCCCUCCCUCCUCUUCGUGUUCCGGUGGUCGAUAGUCGGGGUCAACGAGGAGAUGCACGUGGCGGCGGCCAUGGACAACUCCAUGAGCGGGACCACCGCCGUCGCGGCGCCUGCGGCCGGCGGCGCACUCCACGGGGCUCGGGAUGUCCGCGGCGGCGCGGGCUGUGGACCGAGAGGCAGGGCCCUUGAUGCGUUCUGUUCGAGGGGCUGGUCGGGCUGGCGCGGGAUCUGAGCCACCGUUGAUGGAUUUCUCGCAGCUUGGCUCCUGUUGCUUUGGAUCCGGAUGGUGUUAAAGAGGUGUGACAUGUGACGUCAAUGGGGAGGUGCGUAGGGGCGGUUCUGGUCAAGGGUGUCCUCGCGGUGGCCAUCGACGAUGAAGUGGUGCUGCCUAUGGGGCGGCUUCUCUUUCUCCGGCGGGCGUGGUCCGUGGGAUCUGGUGGGUGCACAACUUCUCUUGUUGGUGCAGUCUUUUGUUGGUUCCAAUACAGUGAUGCUCCUGGGUGACUCCAGUCUGAGAAAGAGGGAAAUGCAGGUCACGCUAGCUUGCAACCAUUUUUGGGAUGGAUUGAUCGAUAGAAUGCCGAGGAUUCUUGCGAUCAUUUAGGGUUGAAGUAUAUUCUCCUUGCAUGACACAAGUGCUACGACUAUGAAGAUGACGUGUUGAAGAAGCACCAUCGACGUCAGCGUCACCGUCCUUGGGAUGGAGAAGACGCCACUCCCAAAUCGUCUCUGUACUGCAUCCAGCUUCUUCUGGAGCUUCUUCUAGUGGUUCUACACCGGCGGCGACGUCUGCGGCUUCCUCCAGUUCCCCACCUUCGGGCUUAAAGCCUGGAAGCAAAUGUAGCUCAUGGCGAGUGAUGCGUGAGCCGUCUCGAUCCUUUUGCUCUGUUAUUAUAUUUUAGCCAUGAAGGAUUUACUGCUAGUUAGUUCGUAGUGGUUCCGGCAGUUUGCUGAACUUCUGUUCUUGCUUGUGCUAUUUUUUUACUGUUUAGAUGGCUCAAUUUACUUCCAAUUUUACUCUUGAGUUUUCCCAUGUGUCGGUGUCAAAACCGGCGGAUCUCGGGUAGGGGGUCCCGAUCUGUGCGUCUAGGCGGAUGGUAACAGGAGACGAGGGACACGAUGUUUUUACCCAGGUUCGGGCCCUCUU